GACGAACGCUGGCGGCGUGCUUAACACAUGCAAGUCGAACGGUGAAGCCUUUCGGGUGGAUCAGUGGCGAACGGGUGAGUAACACGUGGGCAACCUGCCCCUGACUUCGGGGAUAAGCCCGGGAAACCGGGUCUAAUACCGGAUAUGAUCACGUCCCGCAUGGGGUGUGGUGGAAAGUUUUUCGGUCAGGGAUGGGCUCGCGGCCUAUCAGCUUGUUGGUGGGUGAUGGCCUACCAAGGCGACGACGGGAGCCGGCCUGAGAGGCGACCGGCCACACUGGGACUGAGACACGGCCCAGACUCCUACGGGAGGCAGCAGUGGGAAUAUUGCGCAAUGGCGAAAGCCUGACGCAGCGACGCCGCGUGAGGG
rnacentral:rRNA from 1 species